rnacentral:rRNA from 1 species
AACGAACGCUGGCGGCAGGCCUAACACAUGCAAGUCGAGCGGGGACUUCGUUUCUAGUUGCGGUCGGGGGAGUAACGCGUGGGAAGGUGCCCUUCUCUACCGAAUUCUCCUGGUUCGUUGGGAGUAAUACCGUAUACGCUACAUUGGGGCCAGAUUUGUCGGAGAAGGUUGAGCCCGCGAUGGUUUAGGUAGUGGGUGGGGGAAUGGCCUACCACGGAUUAGCUCCAUAGCUGGUUUGAGAGGCAGAUCAGCCACACUGGGGCUGAGACACGGCCCAGAAUCCUAGGCGAAGCAGCAGAGGGGAAUCUUAGACAAUGGGGGCAACCCUGAUCGAGCCAGGGCGCGUGAGUGAUGAUGGCCUUAGAGUUGUGAAGCACUUUCAGACGGGACGAUAAUGACGGUACCAGCAGAAGAAGCACCGGCUAACUCCGUG